rnacentral:rRNA from 1 species
GACGAACGCUGGCGGCGUGCUUAACACAUGCAAGUCGAGCGGUAAGGCCCUUUCGGGGUACGACGAGCGGCGAACGGGUGAGUAACACGUGGGUGGACCUGCCCUCCAGCUCUGGGAGUAAGCCUGGGAAACCGGGUACGUAAUACUGGAUAUGACUCCAUGACGCAUGUUGUGGGGUGGAAAGCCUUGUGCGGCUGAGGAUGGGCCCGCGGCCUAUCAGCUUGUUGGUGGGGUGAGGCCUACCAAGGCGACGACGGGUAGCCGGCCUGA